rfam:Danio rerio chromosome 4, GRCz11 reference primary assembly.
GCAUUGGUGGUUCAGUGGUAGAAUUUUCGCCUGCAACGCGGGAGACCCAGGUUCGAUUCCCGGCCUAUGCA